AGUCAAGUAAUUAAGUGCAUGUGGUGGAUGCCUUGGCAGUCAGAGGCGAUGAAAGACGUGAUAGCCUGCGAAAAGCUCCGGGGAGGCGGCAAAUAUCCUUUGAUCCGGAGAUGUCUGAAUGGGGGAACCCACCUACUUUAAGGUAGGUAUUGCAACAUGAAUACAUAGUGUUGCAAGGCGAACGAGGGGAAGUGAAACAUCUCAGUACCCUUAGGAAAAGAAAUCAAUUGAGAUUCCCUCAGUAGCGGCGAGCGAACGGGGAUCAGCCCAUUAAGUUAUGUGUGUUUUAGUGGAACGCUCUGGGAAGUGCGAACGUAGAGGGUGAUAUUCCCGUACACGAAAGGGCACACAUAAUGAUGACGAGUAGGGCGAGGCACGUGAAACCUUGUCUGAAUAUGGGGGGACCAUCCUCCAAGGCUAAAUACUCCUGACUGACCGAUAGUGAACCAGUACCGUGAGGGAAAGGCGAAAAGAACCCCUGUGAGGGGAGUGAAAUAGAUCCUGAAACCGCAUGCAUACAAGCAGUGGGAGCACCUUCGUGGUGUGACUGCGUACCUUUUGUAUAAUGGGUCAGCGACUUAUAUUCAGUAGCAAGGUUAACCGUAUAGGGGAGCCGUAGAGAAAUCGAGUCUUAAUAGGGCGUUUAGUUGCUGGGUAUAGACCCGAAACCAGGCGAUCUAUCCAUGAGCAGGUUGAAGGUUGGGUAACACUAACUGGAGGACCGAACCCACUGUCGUUGAAAAGCCAGGGGAUGACUUGUGGAUAGGGGUGAAAGGCUAAUCAAGCCUGGUGAUAGCUGGUUCUCCCCGAAAGCUAUUUAGGUAGCGCCUCGGACGAAUACCAUAGGGGGUAGAGCACUGUUUCGGCUAGGGGGUCAUCCCGACUUACCAAACCGAUGCAAACUCCGAAUACCUAUGAGUACUAUCCGGGAGACAGACUGCGGGUGCUAACGUCCGUAGUCAAGAGGAAAACAAUCCAGACCGCCAGCUAAGGCCCCAAAAUCAUAGUUAAGUGGGAAACGAUGUGGGAAGGCAUAGACAGCUAGGAGGUUGGCUUAGAAGCAGCCACCCUUUAAAGAAAGCGUAAUAGCUCACUAGUCGAGUCGGCCUGCGCGGAAGAUGUAACGGGGCUAAAACUAUGUGCCGAAGCUGCGGAUGUAUACUUUGUAUACGUGGUAGGGGAGCGUUCUGUAAGCCGAUGAAGGUGUGUUGAGAAGCAUGCUGGAGGUAUCAGAAGUGCGAAUGCUGACGUGAGUAACGACAAAACGGGUGAAAAACCCGUUCGCCGAAAGACCAAGGGUUCCAGUCCAACGUUAAUCGGGGCUGGGUGAGUCGACCCCUAAGGCGAGGCCGAAAGGCGUAGUCGAUGGGAAAAUGGUUAAUAUUCCAUUACUUCUGUGUAAUGCGAUGAGAGGACGGAGAAGGCUAAAUCAGCCUGGCGUUGGUUGUCCAGGUGAAAGGAUGUAGGCAUGUAUCUUAGGCAAAUCCGGGGUACUCUAUGCUGAGAUCUGAUAGCAAGCUGUACUUGUACAGCGAAGUGGUUGAUGCCAUGCUUCCAGGAAAAGUCUCUAAGCUUCAGUUACACAGGAAUCGUACCCGAAACCGACACAGGUGGUCAGGUCGAGUAGACCAAGGCGCUUGAGAGAACUCUGCUGAAGGAACUAGGCAAAAUGGUACCGUAACUUCGGGAGAAGGUACGCUGUUGUUGGUGAUGGAACUCGCUUCCUGAGCUGACGACAGCCGCAGAAACCAGGCCGCUGCAACUGUUUAUUAAAAACAUAGCACUCUGCAAACACGAAAGUGGACGUAUAGGGUGUGAUGCCUGCCCGGUGCUGGAAGGUUAAUUGAUGGGGUUAGCGUAAGCGAAGCUCUUGAUCGAAGCCCCAGUAAACGGCGGCCGUAACUAUAACGGUCCUAAGGUAGCGAAAUUCCUUGUCGGGUAAGUUCCGACCUGCACGAAUGGCAUAAUGAUGGCGGCGCUGUCUCCAGCAGAGGCUCAGUGAAAUCGAAAUCGCUGUGAAGAUGCAGUGUACCCGCGGCUAGACGGAAAGACCCCGUGAACCUUUACUGCAGCUUGACACUGAACUUUGACCUUACUUGUGUAGGAUAGGUGGGAGGCUUUGAAGCUGGAACGCUAGUUCCAGUGGAGCCGUCCUUGAAAUACCACCCUGGUAAUGUUGAGGUUCUAACUCUGUCCCGUGAUCCGGGACGAGGACCGUGUCUGGUGGGUAGUUUGACUGGGGCGGUCUCCUCCUAAAGAGUAACGGAGGAGUACGAAGGUGCGCUCAGCGUGGUCGGAAAUCACGCGUAGAGUAUAAAGGCAAAAGCGCGCUUAACUGCGAGACCCACAAGUCGAGCAGGUACGAAAGUAGGUCUUAGUGAUCCGGUGGUUCUGUAUGGAAGGGCCAUCGCUCAACGGAUAAAAGGUACUCUGGGGAUAACAGGCUGAUACCGCCCAAGAGUUCAUAUCGACGGCGGUGUUUGGCACCUCGAUGUCGGCUCAUCUCAUCCUGGGGCUGAAGCAGGUCCCAAGGGUAUGGCUGUUCGCCAUUUAAAGAGGUACGCGAGCUGGGUUUAGAACGUCGUGAGACAGUUCGGUCCCUAUCUACCGUGGGCGCUGGAAAUUUGAGAGGAUCUGCUCCUAGUACGAGAGGACCAGAGUGGACGAACCUCUGGUGUACCGGUUGUGACGCCAGUCGCAUCGCCGGGUAGCUAUGUUCGGAAGGGAUAACCGCUGAAAGCAUCUAAGCGGGAAGCCUACCUCAAGAUAAGAUUUCCCUAGGACUUUAUGUCCUCUAAAGAGCCGUUCGAGACUAGGACGUUGAUAGGUUGGAUGUGGAAGCAUAGUGAUAUGUGAAGCUGACCAAUACUAAUUGCUCGUGAGGCUUGACUAU
rnacentral:rRNA from 1 species